GGGUUGUGAGGUUAAGCGAACAAGCGUACACGGUGGAUGCCCUGGCAGUCAGAGGCGAUGAAGGACGUGCUAAUCUGCGAAAAGCGCCGGCGAGGUGAUAUGAACCUUUGACCCGGCGAUGUCCGAAUGGGGAAACCCGGUGCACCACGGUGCAUCAUCGUUAACUGAAUACAUAGGUUAACGAGGCGAACCGGGGGAACUGAAACAUCUAAGUACCCCGAGGAAAAGAAAUCAACCGAGAUUCCCCCAGUAGCGGCGAGCGAACGGGGAGGAGCCCAGAGCCUGAAUCAGCUUGUGUGUUAGUGGAAGCGUCUGGAAAGUCGCACGGUACAGGGUGAAAGUCCCGUACACGAAAACGCACAGGCUGUGAGCUCGAUGAGUAGGGCGGGACACGUGGUAUCCUGUCUGAAUAUGGGGGGACCAUCCUCCAAGGCUAAAUACUCCUGACUGACCGAUAGUGAACCAGUACCGUGAGGGAAAGGCGAAAAGAACCCCGGCGAGGGGAGUGAAAAAGAACCUGAAACCGUGUACGUACAAGCAGUGGGAGCCUCUUUAUGGGGUGACUGCGUACCUUUUGUAUAAUGGGUCAGCGACUUAUAUUCUGUAGCAAGGUUAACCGAAUAGGGGAGCCGGAGGGAAACCGAGUCUUAAUUGGGCGUUAAGUUGCAGGGUAUAGACCCGAAACCCGGUGAUCUAGCCAUGGGCAGGUUGAAGGUUGGGUAACACUAACUGGAGGACCGAACCGACUAAUGUUGAAAAAUUAGCGGAUGACCUGUGGCUGGGGGUGAAAGGCCAAUCAAACCGGGAGAUAGCUGGUUCUCCCCGAAAGCUAUUUAGGUAGCGCCUCGUGAAUUCAUCUCCGGGGGUAGAGCACUGUUUCGGCUAGGGGGCCAUCCCGGCUUACCAACCCGAUGCAAACUGCGAAUACCGGAGAAUGUUAUCACGGGAGACACACGGCGGGUGCUAACGUCCGUCGUGAAGAGGGAAACAACCCAGACCGCCAGCUAAGGUCCCAAAGUCAUGGUUAAGUGGGAAACGAUGUGGGAAGGCUCAGACAGCCAGGAUGUUGGCUUAGAAGCAGCCAUCAUUUAAAGAAAGCGUAAUAGCUCACUGGUCGAGUCGGCCUGCGCGGAAGAUGUAACGGGGCUAAACCAUGCACCGAAGCUGCGGCAGCGAACGUAUCACUUAAAGCGAUUCAGCGUCUUACGAUUGACGGAGCGAAGCGACGUCAAAGCGUAUACAAAGUCGAGUCGGUUUAAGGAUACGUUCGUUGGGUAGGGGAGCGUUCUGUAAGCCGUUGAAGGUGUGCCGUGAGGCAUGCUGGAGGUAUCAGAAGUGCGAAUGCUGACAUAAGUAACGAUAAAGCGGAUGAAAAGCCCGCUCGCCGGAAGACCAAGGGUUCCUGUCCAACGUUAAUCGGGGCAGGGUGAGUCGACCCCUAAGGCGAGGCCGAAAGGCGUAGUCGAUGGGAAACAGGUUAAUAUUCCUGUACUUGGUGUUACUGCGAAGGGGGGACGGAGAAGGCUAUGUCGGCCGGGCGACGGUUGUCCCGGUUUAAGCGUGCAGGUGUGUGUUCCAGGUAAAUCCGGUUCACUUUAACACUGAGGCGUGAUGACGAGGCACUACGGUGCUGAAGUGACAAAUGCCCUGCUUCCAGGAAAAGCCUCUAAGCAUCAGGUAACAUCAAAUCGUACCCCAAACCGACACAGGUGGUCAGGUAGAGAAUACCAAGGCGCUUGAGAGAACUCGGGUGAAGGAACUAGGCAAAAUGGUGCCGUAACUUCGGGAGAAGGCACGCUGGCGCGUAGGUGAAGUGACUUGCUCACGGAGCUGAAACCAGUCGAAGAUACCAGCUGGCUGCAACUGUUUAUUAAAAACACAGCACUGUGCAAACACGAAAGUGGACGUAUACGGUGUGACGCCUGCCCGGUGCCGGAAGGUUAAUUGAUGGGGUUAUCCUCGCGGAGAAGCUCUUGAUCGAAGCCCCGGUAAACGGCGGCCGUAACUAUAACGGUCCUAAGGUAGCGAAAUUCCUUGUCGGGUAAGUUCCGACCUGCACGAAUGGCGUAAUGAUGGCCAGGCUGUCUCCACCCGAGACUCAGUGAAAUUGAACUCGCUGUGAAGAUGCAGUGUACCCGCGGCAAGACGGAAAGACCCCGUGAACCUUUACUAUAGCUUGACACUGAACACUGGUCCUUGAUGUGCAGGAUAGGUGGGAGGCUUUGAAGUGCGGACGCCAGUCUGCACGGAGCCGUCCUUGAAAUACCACCCUUUAAUGGCUGGUGUUCUAACGUUGGCCCCUUAUCGGGGUUGCGGACAGUGUCUGGUGGGUAGUUUGACUGGGGCGGUCUCCUCCUAAAGAGUAACGGAGGAGCACGAAGGUUGGCUAAUCUUGGUCGGACAUCAGGAGGUUAGUGCAAUGGCAUAAGCCAGCUUGACUGCGAGCGUGACGGCGCGAGCAGGUGCGAAAGCAGGUCAUAGUGAUCCGGUGGUUCUGAAUGGAAGGGCCAUCGCUCAACGGAUAAAAGGUACUCCGGGGAUAACAGGCUGAUACCGCCCAAGAGUUCAUAUCGACGGCGGUGUUUGGCACCUCGAUGUCGGCUCAUCACAUCCUGGGGCUGAAGUAGGUCCCAAGGGUAUGGCUGUUCGCCAUUUAAAGUGGUACGCGAGCUGGGUUUAGAACGUCGUGAGACAGUUCGGUCCCUAUCUGCCGUGGGCGCUGGAGAACUGAGGGGGGCUGCUCCUAGUACGAGAGGACCGGAGUGGACGCAUCACUGGUGUUCGGGUUGUCAUGCCAAUGGCACUGCCCGGUAGCUAAAUGCGGAAGAGAUAAGUGCUGAAAGCAUCUAAGCACGAAACUUGCCCCGAGAUGAGUUCUCCCUGAGACCUUGAGUCUCCUGAAGGAACGUUGAAGACGACGACGUUGAUAGGCCGGGUGUGUAAGCGCAGCGAUGCGUUGAGCUAACCGGUACUAAUGAACCGUGAGGCUUAACCUUACAACGCCGAAG
rnacentral:rRNA from 1 species